rnacentral:tRNA from 1 species
GAGGGUAUAGCUCAGUGGUAGAGUGUCUGCCUAGAAUGCAUGAGGUCCUGGGUUCAAUUCCCAAUACCUCCA